rnacentral:rRNA from 1 species
UACGAAGGGUGCUAGCGUUGUUCGGAAUUACUGGGCGUAAAGCGCGCGUAGGCGGCUUUGCAAGUCAGAGGUGAAAUCCCCAGGCUUAACCUGGGAACUGCCUUGAAACUGCCAGCUGAGUAUUGGAGGGAGCGGGAAUUCCUACUGGUAGAGGUGAAAUUCGUAGAUAUUAGGAGGAACACCGGUGGCGAAGGCGCCGCUCCGGACAAUCUGACGCUGAGGCGCGAAAGCGUGGGGAUCAAACAGG